rnacentral:rRNA from 1 species
UGACUCCGAAUGCAUCUAGAUUAUUAGUUUGAUCAUGGCUCAGUGACGAACGCUGGCGGCGUGCCUAAUACAUGCAAGUCGAGCGAACAGAAAAGGAGCUUGCUCCUUUGACGUUAGCGGCGGACGGGUGAGUAACACGUGGGCAACGCUACCUUAUAGUUUGGGAUAACUCCGGGAAACCGGGGCUAAUACCGAAUAAUCUAUUUUACUUCAUGGUGAAAUACUGAAAAAAAAAGGGGAAAACCCCGGGGGGGGGGGUUUUUUUUUUUUAUUUUUCCCCCCCNGGGGCGCNGGGGGNUUCCCCCCUUUUUUUGGGGCGGUUUUUUUCCCCCCU